AUUAAAUCAGUUAUCGUUUAUUUGAUAGUACCUUACUACUUGGAUAACCGUGGUAAUUCUAGAGCUAAUACAUGCUAAAAACCCCAACUCACGAAGGGGUGUAUUUAUUAGAUUAAAAACCAAUGCCCUUCGGGGCUCUUUGGUGAUUCAUAAUAACUUCUCGAAUCGCAUGGCCUUGCGCCGGCGAUGGUUCAUUCAAAUUUCUGCCCUAUCAACUUUCGAUGGCAGGGUCUUGGCCUGCCAUGGUUACAACGGGUAACGGAGGGUUAGGGCUCGACCCCGGAGAAGGAGCCUGAGAAACGGCUACUACAUCCAAGGAAGGCAGCAGGCGCGCAAAUUACCCAAUCCCGACUCGGGGAGGUAGUGACAAUAAAUACUGAUACAGGGCUCUUUUGGGUCUUGUAAUUGGAAUGAGUACAAUUUAAAUCCCUUAACGAGGAACAAUUGGAGGGCAAGUCUGGUGCCAGCAGCCGCGGUAAUUCCAGCUCCAAUAGCGUAUAUUAAAGUUGUUGCAGUUAAAAAGCUCGUAGUUGAACCUUGGGCCUGGCUGGCCGGUCCGCCUCACCGCGUGCACUGGUUCGGCCGGGCCUUUCCCUCUGGGGAACUGCAUGCUCUUCACUGAGCGUGUUAGGGAACCAGGACUUUUACUGUGAAAAAAUUAGAGUGUUCAAAGCAGGCCUAUGCUCGAAUACAUUAGCAUGGAAUAAUAGAAUAGGACGUGUGGUUCUAUUUUGUUGGUUUCUAGGACCGCCGUAAUGAUUAAUAGGGACAGUCGGGGGCAUCAGUAUUCAAUUGUCAGAGGUGAAAUUCUUGGAUUUAUUGAAGACUAACUACUGCGAAAGCAUUUGCCAAGGAUGUUUUCAUUAAUCAGGAACGAAAGUUAGGGGAUCGAAGACGAUCAGAUACCGUCGUAGUCUUAACCAUAAACUAUGCCGACUAGGGAU
rnacentral:rRNA from 1 species